CCUACGGGUGGCUGCAGUGAGGAAUAUUGGUCAAUGGGCGCAAGCCUGAACCAGCCAAGUCGCGUGAGGGAUGACGGUCCUAUGGAUUGUAAACCUCUUUUGUCGGGGAGCAAGGCCCGCCACGUGUGGCGGGAAGGAGAGUACCCGAAGAAAAAGCAUCGGCUAACUCCGUGCCAGCAGCCGCGGUAAUACGGAGGAUGCGAGCGUUAUACGGAUUUAUUGGGUUUAAAGGGUGCGUAGGUUGUUUUUUAAGUCAGCGGUGAAAGUUUGUGGCUCAACCAUAAAAUUGCCGUUGAAACUGGAAGACUUGAGUGUGUUUGAGGUAGGCGGAAUGCGUGGUGUAGCGGUGAAAUGCAUAGAUAUCACGCAGAACUCCGAUUGCGAAGGCAGCUUACUAAGCCAUAACUGACACUGAAGCACGAAAGCGUGGGGAUCAAACAGGAUUAGAUACCCGAGUAGUC
rnacentral:rRNA from 1 species